GACGAACGCUGGCGGCGUGCUUAACACAUGCAAGUCGAACGGAAAGGCCCUGCUUUUGUGGGGUGCUCGAGUGGCGAACGGGUGAGUAACACGUGAGUAACCUGCCCUUGACUUUGGGAUAACUUCAGGAAACUGGGGCUAAUACCGGAUAGGAGCUCCUGCUGCAUGGUGGGGGUUGGAAAGUUUCGGCGGUUGGGGAUGGACUCGCGGCUUAUCAGCUUGUUGGUGGGGUAGUGGCUUACCAAGGCUUUGACGGGUAGCCGGCCUGAGAGGGUGACCGGCCACAUUGGGACUGAGAUACGGCCCAGACUCCUACGGGAGGCAGCAGUGGGGAACAUUGCACAAUGGGCGGAAGCCUGAUGCAGCAACGCCGCGUGCGGGAUGACGGCCUUCGGGUUGUAAACCGCUUUCGCCUGUGACGAAGCGUGAGUGACGGUAAUGGGUAAAGAAGCACCGGCUAACUACGU
rnacentral:rRNA from 1 species